rnacentral:piRNA from 1 species
UCACAAUCGUCGCAGGAUACCAUGUUG